rnacentral:lncRNA from 1 species
CCCCAAGCUCUGCAGUGUCCAAGCCAGAGACUGAUAAAGGACUAAAGGAGAAAGCUACGUCUCUCCACUGUUUUUACUAAGAUUAUGUUGUUUUGUCGAGAUGGUGUCUCAUGCGGCCCAGGCUGAUGGCAAACUCCAUAGAUUUCGGAGGAUGGCCUUGAACUUCUGAUAUUCUUGCCUCUGCUGUUGCGAUUGUAGCUUUGUGCCACCACCGUGCCAGAAUGUUCUGGGAAACUUCUAGUCUGGGAUAGCCAUUUCAUAGGUUGGUUCCUUGGAUGUCCUGGGACUUGCUCUGUAGAUGAGGCUUCCACAAACUCACAGAGAUCCACCUGCCUCUCUGCCUCCCGAGUGCUAGGAGUAAGG